CUGGCCUUGACAUGCAGAGAACUUUCCAGAGAUGGAUUGGUGCCUUCGGGAACUCUGACACAGGUGCUGCAUGGCCGUCGUCAGCUCGUGUCGUGAGAUGUUGGGUUAAGUCCCGUAACGAGCGCAACCCCUAUCCCUAGUUGCUAGCAGUUCGGCUGAGAACUCUAGGGAGACUGCCGGUGACAAACCGGAGGAAGGUGGGGAUGACGUCAGGUCAUCAUGGCCCUUACGGCCAGGGCUACACACGUGCUACAAUGGCGCGCACAGAGGGCUGCAAACCCGCGAGGGGGAGCCAAUCUCACAAAACGCGUCGUAGUCCGGAUCGCAGUCUGCAACUCGACUGCGUGAAGUCGGAAUCGCUAGUAAUCGUGAAUCAGAAUGUCACGGUGAAUACGUUCCC
rnacentral:rRNA from 1 species